GACGAACGCUGGCGGCGUGCUUAACACAUGCAAGUCGAACGGUGAAGCGCCUUCCUUUUUGGUGGGUGUGGAUGAGUGGCGAACUGGUGAGUAACACGUGAGUAACCUGCCCCCUUCUUCUGGAUAACCGCAUGAAAGUGUGGCUAAUACGGGAUAUUCUGGGUCUGUCGCAUGAUGGGUCUGGGAAAGAUUUUGUUUCGGUGGGGGAUGGGCUCGCGGCGUAUCAGCUUGUUGGUGUGGUGAUGGCCUACCAAGGCGGUGACGGGUAGCCGGCCUGAGAGGGUGGACGAUCACACUGGUGCUGAGCCACGGCCACGACUCCUACGGGAGGCAGCAGUGAGGAAUAUUGCACAAUGGGCGGAAAGCUGAUGCAGCGACGCCGGGUGAGGGAUGGAGGCCUUCGGGUUGUGAACUUCUUUCGGCAGUGAAGCAGGGCUGCCUCGUUUGUGGGUGGGUUGACGGUAGCUGGAUAAGAAGCGCCGGCUAACUACGUG
rnacentral:rRNA from 1 species